AUGCCUGACGCACCAGCCCGCCUCCCAGUCCCCCACCGUCCUCACAGCCUUCCCCAGCACUUGCCGCGAACCCCACCCCAAAGCGUGUCCCCCGCCAGGGCUCCAGCUGCCCCGCCCGGCCGCCCCACCUGCCUCAUCCCCGCUCACGGGGCUCUAGGACACGCUGCCCUUCCCGGCGGACCCCUACUCACGCUCCUCUUCUCGGAGAGACGGCCCGACGCCCGGCAGCGUAGAGUCCGCGAGUUUCCGCCGUGGUCCCCUGGCUUCUGCUCAACAGCCAAGGAGACGCCAUCUGAGCGGACUCCCCGCCUCCUGCUGCCAGACCGCCAACGCUGCGCCUGCGCACAGCCUGGAGCAGGCGGCAGCGUGCGGACAGUGCGGCUGCGCGACGGGGGAGACACGAGGCCAACUGCAAGGCCUGCAGGUGCGCCUGCGCACAACCUCCAGCAGGCAGCGCCAUGCGGCCGCGAGAGGUACGCUGUCCGUGGCAGUGGCCUGUGGCUGUGCCUGGGCACAGCCGUCUCCCCUCCCCAGGAAGCUCCGCUGCGCUCACCCGCGUUCCCGGGGCCACCCUGCCCGGCACGAGGCCGAGUGGAGAGCGAGCAGAGCCGAUCUGGUCUCCUCCCCAGGCAGCUUUGUGGGGCUUCGGCCACAGUUCCUGCACUCGGGAGUCCUCAGGAGGACCAGACGGCUUCCUGGGCGCCACGACUUGCUGCAGAUAGACGGCGUAACGGCGUCCUGGAUGGUCCCAGAACACCAGGCGCCUGUGCUGACUCGUCCCCUCCUGGGGAUUCUGCGCCCACCCUGCACCUCCGCAUUUGGUGGGGACUUGCCUGUGAGCUGCCCCCCACCCACACCCUUCUGAACACCCACCUGCACAGCAUCAGAUGCAACUGCCCGGCUGGCCCGACCUGUGACCACCCCCCCUCCACAUGGCCCCAGGGCCGCAGACAGCCUGUGUGGGCUCCAUCCCCAUUGCGUGGGCCUGGCUUCUCUCUGAAUGGCUCCCUGAUGCGUUGCGGCCUUGACACAUACCGUGCUUGUGGCCAGAGAAUCUUGCAGGGGCACAACGACAGCCUUCUCUGCCCCCAGACUCUUCCCCGGCGUGGACGGUUUGUGUAG
rnacentral:lncRNA from 1 species